GCUUAAAGGCCCAGAUCCAACUGGGAGCUUUGCGGAGACAAAGAUGCCGGCAGCAGAGCCUGGGGCCUCCCGGAGCCACACAUUCUGUACGCCUGCCUCUCUUUUGUCUGCAGUCGAACGCUCCUUCCUCUGCCAAGAACAAAGACCCUAACAGAUGCUCUCGGGUUUCAGAGUAGAAGUGGGCAAAGUGAAGCUCAGAGCCAGCGAUAAGCCCACCUAAGCCUGCACAGCUGGUGAAUGUUGUUGCCAGCUUGUCACACUCCACCACACCACCAAAGCCAUUCUACACUUCCAACUCUGCCUGUCCUGGAGAGACAUCUAUUAAACCGCUGCUGAGGAAUCCACACUGUGCUCGGGGCUCUGGGGACGCAUGCAGGAGUAAACUGUGGUACUUCAGGAAUUCACAAUCUUCAGCUGCUACAGAGCUUACAGAGGAGAGCGAUCAAGCUACUGACUACAACAAAGACAGAACAAAGCAGUGCCGGAUACGGGAGCGAGGUGCUAGCAAAUGUGGAGGUGGCAAUCAUUGAUUUUGAGCAGAGUACUUGGGGGAAUGUUUAGACCAGUGGUUCUCAAAGUGUGUUCCAAACCAGCAGCACUGGCACCAGCCGUCUGGGAUAAACUUGUCCAGUAUGCCCCAAACUGUGUUUUUUUUUUUUGCAGUUUUGGCCGGGGCUGGGCUUGAACCAGCCACCCCUGGUAUACGGGCUGGCGCCCUACUCCUUGAGCCACAGGUACCACCCCCCCAGACUGUUUUGACGAGCCCUUCACAUGCUGCCCUCCAAAGUUUGAGAGCCACUGCUUUGAAGGAGCUAAGAAAAUUUCACCCCAAAAUAUGAUUCCUUGGUGUAAAUAUUAUUUUGAAUUAAAGGCUAUUCAUAAUCAGGAAACUCUGAACAAAGACUUUCCUCUAUCUACCUAAAAAAAGGGAGCUGCUAGACUCCUUAUCACAUGCUAAUAGACUUGGCCCUAAGGUCAUUUGAAGCACAAUACCUGUCUCUCAGGUUAAUUGACUAAUCAAUCUGUUUCCCUCCAUCUACCCAUCCCCCCCUUAGCAACCACUUGCUGCACAGGUACUUUCCCCACUCUCCCCCCUCCCUUCUAAAAGGCAUCUUUAAAAGCCACCGACUAUCGCUGAAACUUUGGGAAAUCCUUCUUGUGGUUCCCCCCAUGUGCGUGGUGUUUGGAAAUAAACCUUUCUCUUAUUAAUCUACCAAUAACUGUGAGUUGAUCUUUUCAGCGAACCAACGUAGGGG